rnacentral:rRNA from 1 species
UACGGGGGGAGCAAGCGUUGUUCGGAUUUACUGGGCGUAAAGGGCGCGUAGGCGGCGCAACAAGUCACUUGUGAAAUCUCCGGGCUUAACCCGGAGCGGUCAAGUGAUACUGUCGUGCUAGAGUGGCGGAAGGGGCUACUGGAAUUCUCGGUGUAGCGGUGAAAUGCGUAGAUAUCAGGAGGAACACCGGUGGCGAAGGCGGGGUCUCUGGGGCCGAUACUGACG